AAAGCAUCUGAUAUAAAUACUCUGCAUUAUACAGGCAAAAUGCCCUUAGAAGAGAAAAGGAAGCAGAGAUGCGUAUGGAUGGUACACUUGAAAAGAAGGUACAAAAAUAAGGAAAAGAGGACCGAGGAAAGGAGUCAAGAGACCACUGAUUAGGAUCUAGUGUUACUCUGCACCCAUCCUUCUAAACGAUGCUUCAGACGGUUCCAGGCUCUCAGCACCCACCUCGACCAUGACUUUGAUUCCACUUUUCAGUGUCCAACUUCACCAGCAACUCCAGAGCGCUGCCUGCACUCACUGAGAUACCAGCCUGGGAUCUAGAGAUGUGAGAACAUCUAUCCCAUGUGUGACACUGAUUACUGGGAUGGAGGUGACCAACUUGACUGGAUAGUAGACAGCUGCUCCACCCUCCCUGUGCCUCUCAGACCCUUCCUGAAGUUCCAGAAGCUUGGCACCUUUGAAAAGAAUACCUUCUCAGAGACAUGAUCAUUUCUGGGUCAAAGGUAAUUUUCUUUGGCUUAUUAAAUAUGUUUAUAUAGUCUAGUCCUGCAUUGUCUAAUAUGACAGCUACUAGUUACAUGUGGCUAUAGAGCACUUGAAUGUGUCUAGUCCAAACCAAGAUGUGCUCUAAGUGUAAAAUGCAC